rnacentral:rRNA from 1 species
UUCACUAGUGAUUCGCGGCCUAUCAGCUUGUUGGCGGGGUAACGGCCCACCAAGGCGGUGACGGGUAGCUGGUCUGAGAGGAUGGCCAGCCACAUUGGGACUGAGAGACGGCCCAGGCUCCUACGGGAGGCAGCAGUGGGGAAUCUUGCGCAAUGGUCGAGAGACUGACGCAGCGACGCCGCGUGUGGGAGGACGCCUUUCGGGGUGUAAACCACUGUUGCCCGGGACGAACUCGCUCUUUCGAGGGCGUUGACGGUACCGGGUGAGGAAGCACCGGCUAACUCCGUGCCAGCAGCCGCGGUGACACGUAGGCACCAAGCGUUGUCCGGAUUUAUUGGGCGUAAAGAGCUCGUAGGCGGUUCGGUAAGUCGGGUGUGAAAACUCUGGGCUCAACCCAGAGAUGCCACCCGAUACUGCUGUGACUCGAGUGCGGUAGGGGAGCGGGGAAUUCCUGGAGUAGCGGUGAAAUGCGCAGAUAUCAGGAGGAACACCAGUGGCGAAGGCGCCGCUCUGGGCCGUAACUGACGCUGAGGAGCGAAAGCGUGGGGAGCAAACAGGAUUAGAUACCCUGGUAGUCCACGCCGUAAACGUUGGGCACUAGGUGUGGGUCUCAACCAACGAGAUCCACGCCGUCGCUAACGCAUUAAGUGCCCCGCCUGGGGAGUACGG